rnacentral:lncRNA from 1 species
UGGGGUGCUCUAUGGGGUGAUGUUGUUAUGGGGUUGUUAUGGGGUGUUAUGGGGCACUCUAUGGGGUGCUCUAUGGGGUGAUGUUGUUAUGGGGUUGUUAUGGGGCGCUCUAUGGGGCUGUCCCAUUACACCCAGUAUAUGGGCACGGUGCUGCACAGGAUGUUGGUGGUGGUGCCCAAAAUGGAGCGAUCAGAGACGGGGGGAGAUGGAACCGACUGCGGGGGGAGAUGGGGGUUAAUAUGGGAUGGAUGGGGGUUAAUAUUAUGGGAUGGAUGGGGGUUAAUAUGGGAUGGAUGGGGGUUAAUAUGGGAUGGAUGGGAUAUUAUGGGAUAAAUGGGAUGGGAUGGGGUUGGGGUAUGGGGUUGGAUGGGAUGGAUGGGAUAAAUGAGAUGGGAUGGGGAUGGGAUGAGAAGGGGGAGGAUAUGGGGUUGGGAUAG